UACGUAGGGGGCAAGCGUUGUCCGGAUUUAUUGGGCGUAAAGAGCGUGUAGGCGGCCAGACAGGUCUGCUGUGAAAACUCGAGGCUCAACCUCGAGACGCCGGUGGAAACCGUUUGGCUAGAGUCCGGAAGAGGAGAGUGGAAUUCCUGGUGUAGCGGUGAAAUGCGCAGAUAUCAGGAAGAACACCCGUGGCUAAGGCGGCUCUCUGGCCCGGUACUGACGCUGAGGUGCGAAAGCGUGGGGAGCAAACAGG
rnacentral:rRNA from 1 species